GAGCACCUGCCCCUACUUAUUUCAAGAAGAUUGCAGUAAAACGAUUAAAUGAGGGAACAUAUGCAGAGGUGCUUUUAAAAAGCAUAUGCCACCUUUUUUAUUAAUUAUUAUAUAAAAUGAAGCAUUUAAUUAUAGUAAUAAUUUGAAGUAGUUUGAAGUACCACACUGAGGUGAGGACUUAAAAAUGAUAAGACGAGUUCCCUAUUUUAUAAGAAAAAUAAGCCAAAAUUAAAUAUUCUUUUGGAUAUAAAUUUCAACAGUGAGAUAGCUGCCUAGUGGAAAUGAAUAAUAUCCCAGCCACUAGUGUACAGGGUGUUUUGUGGCACAGGAUUAUGUAAUAUGGAACUGCUCAAGCAAAUAACUAGUCAUCACAACAGCAGUUCUUUGUAAUAACUGAAAAAGAAUAUUGUUUCUCGGAGAAGGAUGUCAAAAGAUCGGCCCAGCUCAGGGAGCAGUUUGCCCUACUAGCUCCUCGGACAGCUGUAAAGAAGAGUCUCUGGCUCUUUAGAAUACUGAUCCCAUUGAAGAUACCACGCUGCAUGUGUCCUUAGUAGUCAUGUCUCCUUAGGCUCCUCUUGGACAUUCUGAGCAUGUGAGACCUGAGGACUGCAAACAGCUAUAAGAGGCUCCAAAUUAAUCAUAUCUUUCCCUUUGAGAAUCUGGCCAAGCUCCAGCUAAUCUACUUGGAUGGGUUGCCAGCUAUCUGGAGAAAAAGAUCUUCCUCAGAAGAAUAGGCUUGUUGUUUUACAGUGUUAGUGAUCCAUUCCCUUUGACGAUCCCUAGGUGGAGAUGGGGCAUGAGGAUCCUCCAGGGGAAAAGCUCACUACCACUGGGCAACAACCCUAGGUCAGGAGGUUCUGUCAAGAUACUUUCCUGGUCCCAGAUAGGAAGAUAAAGUCUCAAAAACAACCACCACACGUCAAGCUCUUCAUUGUUCCUAUCUGCCAAAUCAUUAUACUUCCUACAAGCAGUGCAGAGAGCUGAGUCUUCAGCAGGUCCAAGAAAUUUGAACACACUGAAGGAAGUCAGCCUUCCCACCUGAAGAUCAACAUGCCUGGCACUCUAGCACUUGAGGAUAGCUGAAUGAAUGUGUAUUUCUUUGUCUCUUUCUUUCUUGUCUUUGCUCUUUGUUCUCUAUCUAAAGUGUGUCUUACCCAUUUCCAUGUUUCUCUUGCUAAUUUCUUUCGUGUGUGCCUUUGCCUCAUUUUCUCUUUUUGUUCACAAGAGUGGUCUGUGUCUUGUCUUAGACAUAUCUCUCAUUUUUCAUUUUGUUGCUAUUUCUCUUUGCUCUCCUAGAUGUGGCUCUUCUUUCACGCUUUAUUUCAUGUCUCCUUUUUGGGUCACAUGCUGUGUGCUUUUUGUCCUUUUCUUGUUCUGUCUACCUCUCCUUUCUCUGCCUACCUCUCUUUUCUCUUUGUGAACUGUGAUUAUUUGUUACCCCUUCCCCUUCUCGUUCGUUUUAAAUUUCACCUUUUUUCUGAGUCUGGCCUCCUUUCUGCUGUUUCUACUUUUUAUCUCACAUUUCUCAUUUCUGCAUUUCCUUUCUGCCUCUCUUGGGCUAUUCUCUCUCUCCUCCCCUGCGUGCCUCAGCAUCUCUUGCUGUUUGUGAUUUUCUAUUUCAGUAUUAAUCUCUGUUGGCUUGUAUUUGUUCUCUGCUUCUUCCCUUUCUACUCACCUUUGAGUAUUUCAGCCUCUUCAUGAAUCUAUCUCCCUCUCUUUGAUUUCAUGUAAUCUCUCCUUAAAUAUUUCUUUGCAUAUGUGGGCAAGUGUACGUGUGUGUGUGUCAUGUGUGGCAGAGGGGCUUCCUAACCCCUGCCUGAUAGGUGCAGAACGUCGGCUAUCAGAGCAAGCAUUGUGGAGCGGUUCCUUAUGCCAGGCUGCCAUGUGAGAUGAUCCAAGACCAAAACAAGGCCCUAGACUGCAGUAAAACCCAGAACUCAAGUAGGGCAGAAGGUGGAAGGCUCAUAUGGAUAGAAGGCCCAAAGUAUAAGACAGAUGGUUUGAGACUUGAGACCCGAGGACUAAGAUGGAAAGCCCAUGUUCCAAGAUAGAUAGAAGCCUCAGGCCUGAAACCAACAAAAGCCUCAAGAGCCAAGAAAACAGAGGGUGGCCUGAAUUGGACCGAAGGCCUGAGUUGGAUGGAAGUCUCAAGGCUUGAGUUAGAAGUCUUAAGACCUGGGACAGGACACAUGGAAGGCCUAAGAACUGAGACUUGUGACACAAGGCCAACGACCUAAGAUUAGCCCAGGGUUGUAGCUGGAAGACCUACAACCCAAGGAUGGAAGGCCCCUGUCACAAAGCCUACCUAGAUGGAUAGAGGACCCAAGCGAAAAAGUUUCUGGCAUCACUACCACUACUGAUUAAACAAGAAUAAGAGAACAUUUUAUCAUCAUCUGCUUUAUUCACAUAAAUGAAGUUGUGAUGAAUAAAUCUGCUUUUAUGCAGACACAAGGAAUUAAGUGGCUUCGUCAUUGUCCUUCUACCUCAAAGAUAAUUUAUUCCAAAAGCUAAGAUAAAUGGAAGACUCUUGAACUUGUGAACUGAUGUGAAAUGCAGAAUCUCUUUUGAGUCUUUGCUGUUUGGAAGAUUGAAAAAUAUUGUUCAGCAUGGGUGACCACCAGAAAGUAAUCUUAAGCCAUCUAGAUGUCACAAUUGAAACAAACUGGGGAGUUGGUUGCUAUUGUAAAAUAAAAUAUACUGUUUUGAAAACUU
rnacentral:lncRNA from 1 species